rnacentral:tRNA from 1 species
GCCCAUAUAGCUCAGUAGGUAGAGCACUUCCUUGGUAAGGAAGAGGUCACCGGUUCAAUUCCGGUUAUGGGCUCCA